UCCCAUAUGCUCUAGUGGUUAGGAUUUGGCGCUUUCGCCGCCAAGGCCCGGGUUCAAUUCCCGGUGUGGGAA
rnacentral:tRNA from 1 species